AUCAAAUAACAUAGCGUCUGCGAUACACGAUUACACAUUGUGUUACAAAAACCAGAUAGCAAAACAUUGCAGAUACAAUUAUUAGAAAUAGUUCGUUGGAAACAUUGAAGAGGCCCAACAAGUUAACCCUGAACUCGCUUAGGUUGAGAUGGGUGACAAAUAUUUCCACCUAAAACAAACAUAAAUAUCAUAUAAGCUGCAAUAUACCUUGAUUAAUAAGCUUACUCACCGAUUUCAUCCAAUGCUUUGACUUUCCAACGAGGAAAAUAUCCAGAGCACGUUCCCGAGUUUGUUUAAAUUGAUUUGCCGCUUCUUGAAUGGCCAAAACAGGAAGGAGCGUUUGGAUCAAAUUUUUAAGCGAGAAUGACCAAAUCCGAAAGUCAGAAAACCCUAAAUCGAUGAUCAUUUUAUACCAAACGACUAGAACUUGCAGAAGUGUCAAGAGUGCGCUCAAAAAUAGGUGUACAUUGAAAAUGUCCUGCAAGGAGGCUUAGGUGCCAAAUAAAACCGAAACACAUGAUCGAAUUACAUAUAAUAAACACAUAUGUAUAGCUAACCCACCAAAUAAUAUGUUGAAAACCACAAAGUCUGCUCGCUAUGACCAAUAUAAAAACAUAUUCAUGAAUCUGACAACAAACCGAAAGAAUUAGCAGGAACAACUCUCUACCGCCUCCAAAUUGACUUCUUCUACGGAUGUCCAGGGUUCCCAGGCGAAAGAUGUGCAGAUAUUGGUUAACCAACUUGGUCACUUCCGGGCCAUGACAGAUCUUCAAGUGAAUUAUCGAUAAGUAGCAGGGUAUCGAAACCACUAGACUACAUGAGUGCAGAAAUUUUUCGGUAAUUAGCAUUCUAUUGCUGAUCCAUUCAGCAUACGUAAACGCAUAGAUGCAGAGGGGCACAAUCCGUAAGGUAACCGAUAUCCACUUCCACCGCGACCGAUUACUCCAAAUUUCCUCCAGCCACACAUUGUUGUCCUUCUGUUUUCUAAGCCGAAAGCACACUAAGCUCAAAAAUCUGGCGUAAAAGGACAUAAAACGAAGGAUUCCGACGGAAUAUUUUGUAGCCUUCAUCUCCCGGAAACGAAGGAGUUCCUGUUUCCAUAAUUCCCCGAACGUAAUUGAC
ensembl:ncRNA asRNA:CR44087 antisense RNA:CR44087